rnacentral:rRNA from 1 species
UACGUAGGGUCCGAGCGUUGUCCGGAAUUAUUGGGCGUAAAGGGCUCGUAGGCGGUCCGUCACGUCGGGAGUGAAAACUCAGGGCUCAACCCUGAGCGUGCUUCCGAUACGGGCGGACUAGAGGUAUGCAGGGGAGAACGGAAUUCCUGGUGUAGCGGUGGAAUGCGCAGAUAUCAGGAGGAACACCAACGGCGAAGGCAGCUUGCUGGGACGGUACUGACGCUAAGGCGCGAAAGCGUGGGGAGCGAACAGG